GCGCACGGGUGCGUAACGCGUAUGCAUCUACCUUUUACAGAGGGAUAGCCCAGAGAAAUUUGGAUUAAUACCUCAUAGUAUAUAGCCCUGGCAUCAGGAUUAUAUUAAAGUCACAACGGUAAAAGAUGAGCAUGCGUCCCAUUAGCUAGUUGGUAAGGUAACGGCUUACCAAGGCUACGAUGGGUAGGGGUCCUGAGAGGGAGAUCCCCCACACUGGUACUGAGACACGGACCAGACUCCUACGGGAGGCAGCAGUGAGGAAUAUUGGACAAUGGGCGCAAGCCUGAUCCAGCCAUGCCGCGUGCAGGAUGACGGUCCUAUGGAUUGUAAACUGCUUUUAUACGAGAAGAAACACUCCUUCGUGAAGGAGCUUGACGGUAUCGUAAGAAUAAGGAUCGGCUAACUCCGUGCCAGCAGGCGCGGUAAUACGGAGGAUCCAAGCGUUAUCCGGAAUCAUUGGGUUUAAAGGGUCCGUAGGCGGUUUAAUAAGUCAGUGGUGAAAGCCCAUCGCUCAACGGUGG
rnacentral:rRNA from 1 species